rnacentral:rRNA from 1 species
UACAGAGGUGGCAAGCGUUGUUCGGAAUUACUGGGCGUAAAGGGCGCGUAGGCGGUUCGUUAAGUCCUGUGUGAAAUCCCUCGGCUUAACCGGGGAACUGCGUCUGAUACUGGAUGGCUUGAGAUUGGGAGAGGGAUGCGGAAUUCCAGGUGUAGCGGUGAAAUGCGUAGAUAUCUGGAGGAACACCGGUGGCGAAGGCGGCAUCCUGGACCAACACUGACGCUGAGGGAGCGAAAGCCAGGGGAGCAAACGGG